AUCUCAUCUAUCUAUUUUCUCCGCGUGGUUGCAACCCUCUCCCUCUUCCAGCCAUCAAUAUGGCACACCAUCCUUUCCCCAUCAAAAAUCGCUGGCAGCACGGAGGAGGAGCUCCUCUCCUUCCUAAACCGGGUGGAGGCGCGGAGGAGCAGCUAGAUGCAGCCCUCUACCUCCCUAGUCGUCGGAUGGCCGCAUCUAGGAGGAGCUGCCGUUCUCUUCUCUCCUUCCCGAGACGGACGCGGCGCGGAGGAGUAGCUGGAUGCUGCUCUCCUUUCCCUCGAUCUGCACCUCCACCGGUCUUCCAUGGGAGCUCCUCCGUCGCCGAGGUCUUCCUCCAUGGCUACAUGAGCAGCAGCGCCUCUGGUCACAAGCCCACCACCACCGUAUGAGAGAGCCGCGCGAGGAUGCUGACGACGGCGCGCCGGUGGCCUAGGCGAGCCGCGGCGUCGGAGACUGACGCGACGAUGUGUAGUGCCGGCGGCCAGAAGCUUGGGAAGAGGCCGCGGCGUCGGAGGCUGACGCGCCGAUGUGUACCGCCGACGGCCAGAAGCUUGGGAAGAGGCCUGGAGGUUACCGUUUCGUUCGCGGAGCCGAGAGAGAGGGAUAGCGACGCACACCAGAGGGAGGAGCUUCGCUGCAGGGUCGCGUGGCCGAGCUCCCGGCCGGAGCAGAUUAGGCGAGGCCGGGAGCAUGAGAGAACCACCUGAACACUAGAGGGAGGAGGCCAGCAACCACCGGUCAAAUCGGUGCGCAGGUAGAUUAGGCGAGGCCGGGAGCACGAGAGAACCACCUUAACACUAGAGGGAGGAGGCCAGCAACCACCGGUCGAUUCGGUAAGCAGGCAGCAGUGGAUGCGGUAAGGACGGACACAGCCGCGUCUACCACGGGACCAGAGGCAACAACAUCGAUGCGUCUUGGCACCGAUGAUGCGACACUCCACACGCACUCUCGAUGCUUAUCCUGGACGAGCGUUCUGCUCCCGAUUGCAGGCCUUGGCAGGUACAUUCUGCUCCCGAUUUUGGUGAUGUCAGCGUUGAAUGUCUUGAUCAUUAUGCCAUCCAUGUAUUUUCAUGAUUUGCCUUUCUUUUAGUUCUAUAUUUUUUCUAGAUUGUCCUGGUACUGAUCUAUGCCAUGGAGUUCCUCUAGGUUUUGCUCUGGUUGUUUCCUCCAUCUCCACUUCAAAGAGGUACUCAGAUGAAUGGUCAUGUUGGUGGUCGUUUCAUUCAUGUGGCACUACAAUUGACUGAUGUUCCUCUGUUCUGGCCCUAUGGUAUUGUUGUUCUUGGUGGUGCCUCUGAUGGAUCAGUUACUAGGAAAUUUUGGGAGAUUUUCUAUUGGACACGUUUAUUCUUCCAAUUCCAUGGUGAAUCUAAUUCGAGAUAUGCAUUAUGAUCAAAAGCUUCCUUUUGGUGGAAGGAUUCGAUUAACCACGUUGGAAGCUACAGCCAAUUAGCUAUCUGAACUGUAUGAAGUGCUCAAUCUACUCUUUGGAUUGGACAAAUUUUAUAACAACAUUGCCUGUUUCUUUUUGUUUGUGAAAGAUCAUAGCAGAGUCUCCCUCAUCUUGAUGUACAUUGUUUAUGUGGGUGAGAUAUAUGUAUUCGGUUAGGAUUAUCAUGAACACCAUGUUGCAUGUUUGUAUCUCACGUUUUGGCAUAUGUACACUCUUUUAGCAUUUAGACGCUCUUUGCCAUUCAAAGUGCGUAUUUCUACACCUUAUAUAGAUUCUUAUAUUAAAUUUCUUUUGGAUGUAACUUUGCAUUGUGUCUGCAACUAACGAGUGGCCUGGGGAUGAGAGCUAUUUUUUGCUUGCAGCAUUGCAGGGUCAAGUUUUAGUCUUAAUAUGCUCACUUUCGUAGUUGGUUUCCACUAAAAGAUUGUGGUACAUUGACUGCAAGGUAUGUUUGAAGAAAUUAAAACUUUCUACAUAUAAAUUAAUGCCCGAGGUAUGAAAUUGUUGAGCCUGCCCCAACGUAACCUAUCUACAAUUAUUUUCUGUUACAAAUGAUUCUUCAAUUGGUUUAUCAAUUGGUGCUUGUGCAAUUUAUUGAAAGGUCUAUGGUUCUUAGUUUAUACCUCAGUUUAUCUGAUACUUCAGUUGGCUAAUUUAUACCUUCAUAAGAACCUUAUCCUAAAUGGUUCAUGUGCAUGAUUCUACCGUUCAAAUAAGGGUUUAAAUUGUUCGUUGGGAGCAUUACCUUAAGUAAAAAGAGCAUGAAAACGUUUCACCAAAUUUAGACCCUGCCUCUUUGUUCAGAUUUCAGUGAGCAUGAACUCCUUUAAUUUCUUUUACAGCAUAUUCUUUUGUUUUACAAGUUGAAUAUAAUCUUUUAUAUAAUCUCAUCUAUUGGGCCAUCCGUACAUAAUACUUUUCUGAGCAUUACUUCUGAUCGACAAUUUUCCACACUAACAAGUACUAGCAGUAGUAUUCAAAACUUCGGGUUAUAUUUGUAAAACAAUGGAUCAUAUGGAUGAUGCAGAAUUUUUUAUAUCCUAUGGAAUUUCUUCACAAUAUGGAUCCUCAUAACUUUACACGUCGUAAGAUUUCAUGAAAGGUGGGACUCCCAGUAAUGCUAUUGAGAAAUAUUAACCAUUCUACUGAGUUUUGCAACUGCACUCGCUUGAUGGUUACAAGGUUCGGUGGGUGGAUCCUGCAAGCAAAGAUUAUGACAGGGGGCAAUAUAGGUGAUCGUGUGUGUAUCCCAACAAUUGUGCUGAAUGCACCAGCUACAGAGUUUCCCUUAACAUUGCAGCGCCGACAGUAUCCACUUUGUUUAUAUUACAAAAUAUCAGACACUUGACCCCGAAACCUGUGUUUUCGCACAUCCAGUUUUAUCUUGCUAUUUCAAGAGAGUAACAUUGAGAGGGGGAUUGAAGAUACUUGCACUUGAUGAAUCAUCUGGAAAACUGACCACAGAUAUAAGAAAUAUUAAAUGACUUCUUAGUCAAGGCGCCAGGUUUCUGUCCCCUUUUGUGUUCGAAUAUUGUGUGUUUGCAAGCUUCAAGUUUAGGGUUGCUUCCUAGGAAGUUUAGAUGGAUGGCCCUAAAUUCAAGCAUUCUCAGUGUGUUUUGUUUCUAUAAUUACUAUGGAAACACCGAAAUGGCGUGUUUUUCCAAAAGGUGAACGCCCGUGUCUUCCUCGCCCCCUCGCUGUUUGUAGGGAGGAAGGCGCUCUCUGGAAGCUGCGCGUGCCCCAGUCCUCCAAGAUGAGGCGGCUGCUUCGGUCUCUUGCGUAGGUGGAAAUGGCUAGGGCUGCCCUUCGUGUUUCUCUCUCUCCACACCCCCAUUGUAUCUCUUCUCUCCCCUUGUCCCUGCUGUAAAACACAGGCUUUUGACUAUGGAGUUCUAUCAAGUGUAAUGUCUUAA